GUUCUAAAAGUACAAAACUGUAAUACAGGGUCCUGAGCUGAUGGAGGUGCUGACUGACGACGGCUCACUCGCCGUAGAUCACGACAUGCCAGAGGACUCUGUAAAUACUUCGUAUGACUCGGUCCAGAUGCGCCGCCGUCGCCGUCGAUGCCGCUUCUGCUGUGGAUGCUGCCCCAACAUGGUUGGCUGUGGAACCUGCUGCAAAUUCUGAGCAACUGAGCUCCAGGCUGCAGAUCCUUGAAGCACUGUAGCAAAAAGAACAAGAAGAAAGUGACACUGAAUAAAAAGUAUAUGCUACUUUUGGUAUAAGUGUUGAUGAAGCAUUUUAACCUGUUUGUCUUUAAAACUUUUUUAUGAUGUUAGUGGAUGUCUAAUUGUAACAAGUACAGUAUGUUUUGACUUUAUUAUCUAAACUCUCUGACAAAAUAUGCACAGAUAUAACAGUGUACUUGUAAAAUUUAUUUCAAUAUCACUAAACAGUAAUAUGCAAAACAGAUGUUUUGGGAAAAUAACAGAUAUUAGUUAACCAGAACAAAACGUACCAAAGGAUCCUUUUGUCCGUGAUUUAAAUAGUGUAUGUUUUCACAAUAAAUAAUACUAGUCUUUCC